rnacentral:rRNA from 1 species
GAUGAACGCUAGCGGCAGGCUUAAUACAUGCAAGUCGAGGGGUAGCAAGAUUGUAGCAAUACAAUUGUUGACGACCGGCAAACGGGUGCGGAACACGUACACAACCUUCCUACAAGUGGGGAAUAGCCCAGAGAAAUUUGGAUUAAUACCCCGUAGCAUAGCGAUGUGGCAUCACAUUGCUAUUAUAGCUUCGGCGCUUGUUGAUGGGUGUGCGGCUGAUUAGAUAGUUGGCGGGGUAACGGCCCACCAAGUCUACGAUCAGUAGCUGAUGUGAGAGCAUGAUCAGCCACACGGGAACUGGGACACGGGCCCGACUCCUACGGGAGGCAGCAGUAAGGAAUAUUGGACAAUGGACGCAAGUCUGAUCCAGCCAUGCCGCGUGAAGGAUUAAGGUCCUCUGGAUUGUAAACUUCUUUUAUAAGGGACGAAAAAAGGUCUUUCUAGAUCGUCUGACGGUACCUUAUGAAUAAGCACCGGCUAACUCCGUGCCAGCAGCCGCCGUAACAC